UGCUUCAUAGAAUAUUGGAAUGGCCUUUUGGAAAUUCAGAGACAGCACCAACUACAUGGCGAUACCUUCCAGGACUGAAGUACUUUCCUCCAGGAGGCUGUAUGUGCUGUAAAUCUGCAUCUAGUGUAUGGUGCUGCUUCUCCCAUAGCCAGGAUUCAUGGGUCCAGGAAUCAAGGGGUGAAAAUGAGAAAAUCAAGGGAUGAAAAUGACUCCACUCACUCUUACUGCUGGGAAGCCACUAUCAGGAGUUUUGCUUGCCAUCCCCCUGAACUUUUGCAUUGUUGAUCUAGAAGUCUUAGUUCUAAAGUUAGGGGUGCUUCUACCAGAAGACAUCACAAUGAUUCCAUUGAAGCUAUUACCUGACCAUUGUAAGCUCCUCAUGUCUCUGAGUUCACAGGCAAAGAAGAGAGUUACUGUACUGGCUGGGAUUAUCAGUCCUAAUCAUCAAGGGGAAAUUAAACUGCUACUCCACAAAGGAGGUAACGGACACUAUGUUUAGAAUGCAGGAGGCCCUUAGGUUGGCAUCUCCUAGUACUCCCAUGUCCUGUGAUUAAAGCCAAUGGAAAACUAUAACAAACCUGAGAGUGGCCCAGACUCUUCAGAAAUGAAGGUUUGGAUCACUCCACCAGGCAAACAACCAUGACCAUCAGAGGUGCUGCUGACGGAAAAGGGAAUACGGAGUGCCUAGUGGGAGAAGGCAGUUACAAAUAUCAGCUACAAGUGUGUGACCAAUUGCAGAAACAAUGACUGUAAAUGUUAUUUUAUAGAUUCUUGCCGUUUAAGUCAAAUGCAUCAACAUAAGCCUUGGAGCAUUCCAUAGAAGAAAAAACAAGGAGAGCUUUACUACCAUGCAGUGCAAAGCAGGAGGCAGUGGGGGAGGAGAAGAAUUAAAAUUGGAGGUGUUUCAAGCGUCUGUACUACAUUAUGCC